UGCUAAAUUUCCUUUUAUUUUGUUAUAAUUCUGUGUUGUGCCAUUUAAAAACAUUGUCUGGAUGGUAAAGUUUGGCUUUCGUAAUUAAAACAAACUUGUCAAUACAUUUGACUUUCUCUGUAAAGAUUUAUUUAUACAUUUAUUAUUAUUUUACAGUGUUUUAACAUAUUUCUGUAUUUUUCAUGUUUAUGAUAUUUUGGAAUGACUGAAGAUCAGUGCAGAAUUCAAUAAUCUUGUGGAUGGAUUGUAGCAAGUCCUUUUGCAGUUGAAUCCAUUAAAAUGGUAUGCAGACAUAAUGGAAAUGACAUUCACAUUGUAGAGCUUGGACAAAGUUCACACAGGCUCGGAGCAGGAAUUCAUCAAGGACAUGACUGUUGGGAAUACAGUUGAGGAUGACCAAACUGAGCACCAUCAAUCUGCAGUGCUGUGUUUCAGUCAUCAGGUGAAAUUGAGGAUGUUGUGAAAGAAACUGAUGAGGACAUUCGGAUUGUAACUGAGGAGCAGCAAUGUGAUGUGCUUCCCAAGGAAUAACCAACAUUGCUCUCAUUUGGACAUCUUGUCAUCACUGACAUCUCCCAUGUCCCCAAGGCAUUUGGACUCCUAAUGGGUCUGUAUGUAGUGAACAUCCACUAACUUAAGUGCAUGAAAUACAAAAACUUGUGAAGAACAGCUACUCCCACCAUGUGCUCACUGCUCACCAUUGUUGGGAGUGAAUGUACAGUGCUCUCUCCCUCCUUCAAUACCAUGACUGAGGUUGUCACGGUUCUUGAAUUCACUGCCUCAUCCUCUCUGUGUGUGUUUGGUUGUGUUGGAGGUGUGGCCACUGAUUGCCAAUCACCUGAUCACCACCAACAGCUGCAGUCACUUUCACCGGCCUAUAUAUGUUCUCAUCUCACUUCCUGUCUUUGUCAGAUCGUUUGGAGUUUGUUGUGAGUCGUCCUGUCCUGGGCUGUCUUGUUCUCACGUUAUUGUCCUGGUUUCUGUGUUGUCUUCAUGGUCGUUCCGUUCCUCGUGUUCCACUGAAGACUGGUUGCCCAUCUGUGUCCCUGUGCUGCCAGGAGAGGACCAUCAUGCACUUGCUUCUAUCGGACCCACUACAACUCUUUGCCUUCUCAAUAAAGAACUGAGAUUUCACUCGCUACUGAAUCCUCCUUAUUUAUCCUGAGAGAGGUGCUCUUGAGCAAGGCACCAAACCCCCAACUGCUCCCCGGGUGCUGCAGCAUAAAUGAUGACCACUGCUCCGGGUGUGUGCUCACAGUGUGUGUGUGCACUUUGGAUGGGUUAAAUGCAGAGGACGAAUUCUGAGUAUGGGUCUUUACUUUUACUUUUCAAUGUUCAUGAUGUGUUUAUCGGCUCUACAGCAAGUUUUAUCAUAUAAACUAUGUUUUUUUUUCUUUAUUCUUUCACUGUAUUUUAGA